rnacentral:rRNA from 1 species
UACAGAGGUCUCAAGCGUUGUUCGGAUUCAUUGGGCGUAAAGGGUGCGUAGGCGGCGCGGUAAGUCGGGUGUGAAAUCUCGGAGCUUAACUCCGAAACUGCAUUCGAUACUGCCGUGCUUGAGGACUGGAGAGGAGAUUGGAAUUCACGGUGUAGCAGUGAAAUGCGUAGAUAUCGUGAGGAAGACCAGUGGCGAAGGCGGAUCUCUGGACAGCUCCUGACGCUGAGGCGCGAAGGCUAGGGGAGCAAACGGG